UGGGGAAUCUUGCACAAUGGGGGCAACCCUGAUGCAGCGACGCCGCGUGAACGAUGAAGCCCCUCGGGGUGUAAAGUUCUUUCGGCAGGGAAGAAUCAUGACGGUACCUGCAGAAGCAGCUGCGGCUAACUACGUGCCAGCAGCCGCGGUAAUACGUAGGCAGCGAGCGUUGUUCGGAGUUACUGGGCGUAAAGGGUGUGUAGGCGGUCCUCUAAGUUUGGUGUGAAAUCUCCCGGCUUAACCGGGAGGGUGCGCCGAAAACUGGGGGACUAGAGUGCGGGAGGGGAGAGUGGAAUUCCUGGUGUAGCGGUGAAAUGCGUAGAUAUCAGGAGGAACACCGGUGGUGUAGACGGCUCUCUGGACCGUAACUGACGCUGAGACACGAAAGCGUGGGUAGCAAACAGGAUUAGAUACCCUGGUAGUCCACGCCCUAAACGAUGCAUAUUUGGUGUAGGUCAUUCAGUUGAUCUGUGCCGGAGCUAACGCGUUAAAUAUGCCGCCUGGGGAGUACAGUCGCAAGGCUG
rnacentral:rRNA from 1 species